UAAACAGACAGUACACUAUGCGCACUUAUAAUUUUUCUUCCUUUCUAACAGCACGGUGGGCAAAUGAGGCACUGGUCUGAACACCGAGGCACAAGCGUCUUGGUUGUCAUAGCAACGCGGCCCUUCACUCACUCACUGCACAGGGAUAGCUGUAGCUACUGGCGUCACGGUCACCAUAGAAACCGGCACUAUACGAUUGACGUCACACAGCCGCGACCGGAAGUACGAUUGCUCCGUUCUCACACCUGCACCGCGAUUAACUCCACGGGGAUAUAAGGUUUCUCUGGAAUGUUCUUGAAUACCUGAACACAUCUCCAGCUGAAUGUUGCGCUGACUGUCCCCCCUUCUUCCCUGAUGGCACACAGAUGUGUCCCCCCCUCACUGCGGUAUGACCAGGAGUACCCUUCAGGUUUCCGCUGGAUGUUCUAGAAGACCCUAAACCCCUCUACAGUGGAAAGUGGCGCUGACUCCCCCCUUCUACCAUGAUGGCUUACUAGCAAUGUGGCCCUCCCCCCCGUGUAGUGCUGUGUCCUAACCCUACUUGUAACACUGUCCACCCCAAAAUCAAUUUAGUUUUACAAUAAAGAC